GGGGCUCGCCCCUGACUCACAUCCUUGAUUCAUCCCAGGGCAGGGCUUGACCAGCAGCAUGGGCUGGGCUCUUCCAGCUCCCUCGCCUCGCUCCUGCCGGAGUCACCCUUUCUGCUUUGAAUUAAGAGACGGGAAGGCAAGGCGGGGAAAAGAAUCAGCAAUAAAAAGAGAUGGAGCCAGCCCUGUGCUGGAGCCCAGAGCGAUAAGCGUGCAGCCAGGAGGAGGAGGAGGGAUGAGGCUGGCCACGGUCACGUGUGGGGAUCUGCUUUCGGCACAGCCGGCGUGUUUGUGGGGCAGGGAGGGUGCGACAUGGGCUCCCGCUUCCAGGAAUCCUCCGAGCACAGGAUAUGCGGCGGGGAGCGAGUAAACAUGAUACAAUAGCUGGCCUGUAACUCGAUCGGCGCCCUGCGUUAGCUGCUCCCCGCCCGGGGACCUUGGCAGCUCCUCGGGGUGUCAGGGCACGGGGUGCCGUGUGCUGGGAUGUGGGCGCGGGGCGAUGGGGGAGCCCCUUUUGGCACAGGGGUGGGCGAGCUUGGCUGCUCUGGCUGAACAAAGCAGGGAGCACGGGGGGGACCCCCCAAAAAUAAAACUGGCUGGGCAUGGAUGGAGCACACAGGCUGGGCGGCACAGCCCGUCCCAGCCACGGGAGAGGAGGGUUUCAGAGAGCAGCUGUGGAUUUUCAGCUAUAUUCUUCAGCUCACACCGGGGAAGGAUAAGAUCAGGCCAAUUUUUUAAGCCCUCAGCUUGGUUUCUUUGCUGCAGGAGCAGGGGACAGGGGCUGGCCGACCCUCUGCAUGAGCAGGGUGGGUUUCUCACCACCCACAGCUUUAUCUGUAUUUUUAGAGUGCGCUGCAGGCACGAGGUCCCCGCGGCAAGUGACAUUCCAGCCCGCAGCCCUGUGUCCCCAUCCCGCUCCUCCGAGAGCCAGCAGCUGAGCCGGGGCUCAAGUGUCCUGGGCACGGAGGUGGGGGCCACGCUCUGGGUGCCGAAACAUCGUCACCCCUUCCCGGGGAGGGGUGGGGACCUCGGGGACGUCAAGGAGAAGGCCAGAGCGUACCGUGCUCGCUGGAGGGACCGAUGAGUCGGCAGCGUGGGGCACACGAGCAUAUGUCAGUCAGGUGGGAGCGAUGGCCGUGUGAACUGCCCCCUCUUCAGGCAGCAGGGCUGAAGGCCUGCUCCCCGCCCCGCUCCCCAAAGCAGCAGCGGUUCAGCACAGCUCUCCAGCUCCCCUGCGCCAUGUGGGGAGCUGGGCUCCCUGCCGGCUCUGCCAAAGGAGCCCUUGGCGAUGCCACUGGAUGCUCCUGCCCUGGAAAAA